GACGAACGCUGGCGGCGUGCUUAACACAUGCAAGUCGAACGGAAAGGCCCUGCUUUUGUGGGGUGCUCGAGUGGCGAACGGGUGAGUAACACGUGAGUAACCUGCCCUUGACUUUGGGAUAACUUCAGGAAACUGGGGCUAAUACCGGAUAGGAGCUCCUGCUGCAUGGUGGGGGUUGGAAAGUUUCGGCGGUUGGGGAUGGACUCGCGGCUUAUCAGCUUGUUGGUGGGGUAGUGGCUUACCAAGGCUUUGACGGGUAGCCGGCCUGAGAGGGUGACCGGCCACAUUGGGACUGAGAGACGGCCCAGACUGCUACGGGAGGCAGCAGUGGGGAAUAUUGCACAGUGGGCGGAAGCCUGAUGCAGCAACGCCGCGUGCGGGAUGACGGCCUUCGGGGUGUAAACCGCUUUCGCCUGUGACGAAGCGUGAGUGACGGUAAUGGGUGAAGAAGCACCGGCUAACUACGUG
rnacentral:rRNA from 1 species